GCACUAAAAAAGGUUGAAAAGAGAUGAGUCAAAUGAGGGCAAGACUCUAAGGUUGAAGCAACAGUAUACACUUUGCUCUGCUUCUCUCUAAGAUAUUAUUGCACGAUUUGAGACGAGAUCUAGUGAACCAGUGAACUGGGAUACCUUUCCCAACAAGGUUGCAGUACAAAUGAAUGAUACUCACCCAACACUCUGCAUCCCGGAGCUGAAAUCUCAUAUUGAUGGAUGUGAAAGGUUUGAGCUGGAAGGAAGCUUGGGAGAUAACUAAAAGUUGUGGCCUGAGAAAUUUCAAAAUAAAACAAAUGGAGUGACACCAAGAAGGUGGAUUCGUUUUUGCCAUCCACAUCUAAGUAAAAUCAUAACCAAGUGGACGGGAACAGAAGACUGGUUGAUAAACACUGA